rnacentral:rRNA from 1 species
UGCCUAAUACAUGCAAGUCGAGCGAACAGAUAAGGAGCUUGCUCCUUUGACGUUAGCGGCGGACGGGUGAGUAACACGUGGGUAACCUACCUAUAAGACUGGAAUAACUCCGGGAAACCGGGGCUAAUGCCGGAUAACAUAUAGAACCGCAUGGUUCUAUAGUGAAAGAUGGUUUUGCUAUCACUUAUAGAUGGACCCGCGCCGUAUUAGCUAGUUGGUAAGGUAAUGGCUUACCAAGGCGACGAUACGUAGCCGACCUGAGAGGGUGAUCGGCCACACUGGAACUGAGACACGGUCCAGACUCCUACGGGAGGCAGCAGUAGGGAAUCUUCCGCAAUGGGCGAAAGCCUGACGGAGCAACGCCGCGUGAGUGAUGAAGGGUUUCGGCUCGUAAAACUCUGUUAUUAGGGAAGAACAUAUGUGUAAGUAACUGUGCACAUCUUGACGGUACCUAAUCAGAAAGCCACGGCUAACUACGUGCCAGCAGCCGCGGUAAUACGUAGGUGGCAAGCGUUAUCCGGAAUUAUUGGGCGUAAAGCGCGCGUAGGCGGUUUCUUAAGUCUGAUGUGAAAGCCCACGGCUCAACCGUGGAGGGUCAUUGGAAACUGGGAAACUUGAGUGCAGAAGAGGAAAGUGGAAUUCCAUGUGUAGCGGUGAAAUGCGCAGAGAUAUGGAGGAACACCA